AAAAUUAGUCAAAUCAAAAUGGACUUUUAUACAACAGUCUAAAUUUUUUGGGUCCACAACUUGACUGUGAGUAAAGCCGAAUCACACCUUACACGUGCAC